CGCGCGCGUCCCCCCCCCCCUUCCCCUCUUUCCCUUUUCCCUUUUCCCGCCUCCUUCCCUCAUUUCCCCCCCCUCUCAUCCCAUGGACAUGGCACGGCCACCUUAAAAACGCCGCGCCGCCCCCUCCUCCCCCGAGCGCCGGGGCCGCUAUGAGUCAGGUGUGAAGCCCCCGCCGGGAGGAGGUCGUUCCCUUCGCUGGCUGCAGCCCUGACGCUGGGAUUUUCCUUUUUUUGGCUUUUUUUCCUUUUUUUUUUUUUUUUUUUUUUUUCGGCCCCACCACCUCCCUCCCUCCCUCCCUCGCUCCCUCCCUCCAGGAAUCCAGCGCUGCACCGAAGCCAGAAGAGAGGGAGCAAAACCCAGCCCAGGCCGAGAGCCGCGUCCAGAAACCAAACCCGCCCUUCGCGUCGCAGAGGAGAUUUUUUUUUUAAUCAUUAUUAUUAUUAUUAUUUUUAUUUUCAACACCCCUGACCCGAGCACGGUGGCGGCAGCGGCGCCGGGGCAGGGAGGCUGUCCCGGUUAUUUAUUCUCUCCCCGCAGAGCUGUCCCUCCGGCUCACCAUGAUGUUCCGAGACCAGGUUGGCGUGCUGGCCGGGUGGUUCAAGGGCUGGAACGAGUGCGAGCAGACUGUUGCGCUGCUCUCCCUGCUCAAACGCGUCAGCCGGACCCAGGCUCGCUUCCUCCAGCUCUGCCUCGAGCAUUCCCUGGCAGACUGCACCGAGCUCCACAUCCUCGAAGGGGAGGCCAACAACCCCGGAAUCAUUAACCAGUGGCAACAGGAAUCCAAGGAUAAAGUGAUCUCCCUCUUGCUGACCCACCUGCCUUUACUGAAGCCCGGCAACAUCGAGGCGAAAGUCGAGUACAUGAAACUCUUGCCCAAAAUCCUGGCGCACUCGAUCGAGCACAACCAGCACAUCGAGGAGAGCAGGCAGCUGCUGUCCUACGCCUUGAUCCACCCUGCCACCUCCCUGGAGGACAGGAGCGCCCUGGCCAUGUGGCUCAACCACCUGGAGGACCGCACGUCGGGGGGCUUCGGCGGGCAGGGCCGCGGCCGCUCGGACUCGCUGGACUACGGGCAGGCUCACUACUAUCACCAAAGACAGAACUCCGACGACAAACUCAACGGGUGGCAGAACUCCUCUCGGGACUCCGGCAUCAGCGUCAGCGCCUCCAGCUGGCAGGACAAAAACCUGGCGUGUGAGAACGGCCACCUGCCCCUCUACUCCUCCUCCUCUGUCCCCACCACCAUCAACACCAUCGGCACUAGCACAAGCACCAUUCUCUCAGGCCAGACACACCACAGCCCUUUGAAACGCUCUGUGUCCCUUACCCCACCCAUGAAUGUGCCAAACCAACCUCUAGGACAUGGAUGGAUGUCUCAUGAGGACUUACGAGCUAGAGGACCCCAGUGCAUCCCUUCAGAUCAUGCCCCCCUGUCUCCACAAAGCAGUGUAGCCUCUUCGGGAAGUGGUGGGAGUGAACAUUUAGAAGAUCAGCCUUCCGCUCGUAACACAUUCCAGGAGGAAGGGAGUGGGAUGAAAGAUGUCCCAGCCUGGCUGAAGAGCCUCCGGCUGCACAAGUACGCUGCCCUCUUCUCCCAGAUGACCUAUGAGGAGAUGAUGGCCCUCACCGAAUGCCAGCUCGAGGCACAAAAUGUUACCAAAGGAGCAAGACACAAAAUAGUCAUCAGUAUCCAAAAGCUAAAAGAAAGACAAAACCUGCUCAAAUCUCUAGAAGGGGACAUCCUGGAAGGCGGCAACCUGCGUGUCCCUCUGCAGGAGCUCCACCAAAUGAUCCUCACCCCCAUCAAAGCCUACUCGUGCCAGAACUCGAGCACGGAGGAGCACGGCCGGGACGUGGACUCGCACCACCCCUCCUCCCUGCUGGGCUCCGACAGCCAAGGCUCGGACUGCAAGGACUCCGCGGCAGCCGGGAUGCAGCAGCACCAUCUGCCGGGGUGCGAGGGCGAGUCAGGGGGAGCCCCUCUGCCCGAGGGUGACCUGCCUGGCCAGUUCACCCGAGUCAUGGGCAAAGUCUGCACACAACUUUUAGUUUCCCGACCCGAUGAAGAGAAUAUAAGUUCCUAUUUACAGCUCAUAGACAAAUGUCUAAUCCACGAGGCGUUUACAGAGCUCCAGAAGAAGCGGCUGCUGUCAUGGAAACAGCAGGUGCAGAAACUCUUUCGGUCUUUCCCUCGGAAAUCCCUCCUGGAGCUGUCAGGCUACCGGCAGCAGAGGAGCCGAGGCUUUGGCCAGUCCAACUCCCUCCCCACAGCCGGAUCCGCAGGGGCAGGGCUGGCCCGGAGGAACCCCCGGCAGUUCCAGAUCCCCUCCCGCAACCUCCCCACGGCCAGGCUGGGGCUGCUGGGCCCCACUGGGCUGCUGGGCACCCCCCAGCGCAGCCCUGCUGCCAGCCCUGCCAUCCUCAAGCAAGGCAGACAGAACCUGUGGUUUGCCAACCCUGGGGGCAGUAACAGCAUGCCCAGCAGGAGCCACAGCUCGGUGCAGAGGACGCGCUCGCUGCCGGUCCACACGUCCCCGCAGACCAUGCUGAUGUUUCAGCAGCCAGAGUUCCAGGUGCCGGUGACUGAACCUGACAUCAACAACAGGCUGGAGUCCCUGUGCCUGAGCAUGACGGAGCACGCACUCAGCGGUGAGCAUUCCCUCCUCCUGGGGCUCUUCCAGCACGUCCACGCCGCCUCUGCUGAGCCCCCCAGCACCUGCCCCUGCCCCGUGCCCCCCAAAAGCUGGGACAGGCUGUGGCUGUGAGAGCGGGGCCGGGUGCGGGGACGCUCCCGGGGAUGCUCCCGGCGCUGUUCCCAUGGGAAUGUUGGCUUCUCUCGGCGAGGUGGCCGGGGCAGGGGGUGAAGCUGAACACAGGGAUUGCACCAGCACUAGUGGAGUCUGUGCUAAUUAGCCACUCGUCAGCUUGCUAAUGAUAAUUAGUGUUAGCUCGCUACUCUCGUUAGCUCUCGAUAAAGCCCCUGCGCCGGUGCGCGGAUGGGUCACAGGCUUUGGAGCGUUGUGCCCUUCUGCCACUGGAACUCUGGUUUGGCCGGGGCUGCCCCACAGCUGGGGGCUGAAUCCCUGCCAGGGGCUGUGCCAGGGGCUGUGCCCUGGGGCUGGCAGUCCGCACACAGCCGGGGGUGCCAGUGGAUAAACGGGCACGGGGAGGGAGGAGGACCGGGGCAAAAACAAGCAGGGAAGAUGGAAAAGGCUCCAGCAGCAGCAGCAGCAGAGCGAUGGAGAGCCUGGUGCAGCACAAAGCACUGGCACCAGAAGCUCCCAGUGUCCCUUGCCAACACCCUGGACCCCCAAGCACGAGGGAUGACCCCAGCGAUGGGAUGAGCACGGCCACCGGCGUCGCCCGGAAUCCCGAAUUUCUCGCCGCGGAAAUCCUGGACUGUGAUGGAUGGUUGAGGACAGGAGCCCUCGGGGAGGACCAGUGCCACCAGGCUCCCUGCAGAUUCAACAACCCUUCCUGGGGAGAGGAACGGGAGAGCAAGGACUGUGGGAAGCAGCAGGGCCCUGGCAGCAUCCCUGGCUGGGAAAACAAGGACACUUCUGUCACCCGAAGCGUUUCUCCGGCGUGUGCCCAGCCGAGGCUUAGCUGUCUUGUUCCUCUGCAGGAUGGUGUCGACAGAACCUCCACGAUCUAGAAGGCGUCGCCACGGGGACGCUGGCCGGGACAACAACAACAACUGCUGCGGGUCCAGCGGCGAGGUCGGGGCUUGAGGGAGCCUCAGCGAUAGCUUGCAUCCUUUCUCCUCUCUCCUCUCCUCUCCUCUCUCUCUCUCUCCUGUUUUAAUUUUGUGAAUGUGUAGAUUGUCCUUGUGAACAUAUCAUUAGACUUGGAAUUUGUGUUGUCAUUUAUUACAUCCAUGCUAAAGUGGGGGGGUGGGGAAAGAUGGCAAAAAAAAAAAAGAAAAAAGGAAAAAUCUCAGCGAUGACGAUGAAGCAGCAUGGGGAGGUUUGGGGGGGACAUGGAGGAGGAGGAGGAGAGUGCUGACAACAGAGGGUUCACCAGAGCACCGUGGGCAAACCCUGUUCCUGGAGGAGGAUACCAAGGAGCACGGAACACCACGUGGGGGUGUGUGACCAAAAUCCCUUUGGGGAGGAUUUGCCUGCCCUGCCCGGAGCUUUGGGGCCGGCAGUCCCGUCUCACCUGACUGAAACAGAAAUAAUAAAAUAACCCCAAAAUUCCCUUUCAGUUUAGCCAGGAGAUCUGCAGUGUGGAGGCAGCGUUGUGCUCAGGGCAGUGGAGGCUCAGUCCCAUCCCUGCACCCCCCUAGGAUCGGGAAUCAGGAUGGAGCAGGGGCAUCUCACCCAGCAGAGGGUCCUGGGGAGAGUCUGCAAAUUCGGGAACACUGGGAGAGUUUCAGUCUCUUACCUUGCCUGUGCAGGUGCUGGGAAGCUGCUGCAUCCUGGCUCCACACAUCUGGCCCAGCCUGCCCAAAUCCAGCUGUAAGGGGCUUUUCCAGCAUGGCCAAAGAGGGAUGAAGGAAACCCCGAAUAAAACCCAAGCUGCAAAGGGCACCAAAAUGCAGCUUCACAGCCUUGUUUACUCGGCAUUAACCAUGUGCCAGCAGGAGGUGGGGAUGGCUGUGGCUGCCCCUCACCUGCCACUGCUUUUUGUAACAGGAGCUGAAUUUGGUGUUAAAUUGGUAAAUCUGACCCAGCUCUGCUCAGACCUGCAGUGAUGCUCCCGCUGCUCGCCACGCUGCUCUGAGCCCUUUGAUGGUCUAAUAACCAAUGUGAAAUGAAUUCAUUGAGCUGAUGGGUUGCAGCAAUAUUUCCAAAAUGGGCUGUGAGGACAUGGGCAGCGUUGUGUGCCAGGAGCAGAGCUCAAGGGGAGCCUGAGCAUGGGCAGGGCUGGGACAUGUGUGAAUCCUUUUGUCAUGCAGCGUUUUUAAGUUGUUUUUCUAAAAAAAAUAAAUAUAUAUAUAUAUAUAAUUAUAUAUAUAUACACACACAUAUAUAUAUAUACAAAACCCCAAGUGCCAAAUGCAAUGUUUUAUGUUUGCUGUUCCUUGGUGUCCUGCUUCCCAGCAGACAGGAGGCUGAGGGGGGGGUGAUGGGGAGGGUGGAGAAGGGAAAUCCUGAAGGCCAGGGAGGUUGGGAAGAGGUGUGAGGAGGUGAAGGUCGGCGCUGGGGACCUGGGUCACCCCCGAGCACCCCCAGCUUGUGAGGUGUGAGCAGAACCCCCAGGGAGACUCCAGUGUAUUUACAGAGCUGAAAUUCUAUUUAUUCCUUCGCUGACUGCGGACACGGAGGUUUUCUGAUUGUUCAGAGAGAUUAUUUUGGAUAUUUUACCUAUUAACUUGCUAUGGCUGGGAACCAUGAUAAUGUCUGUUAUUAACAACCACCAAAUAAUUCAAUUGUUUUAUCCUUUUGAUGUUAAAAAAAAAAAAGAAAAAAAAGCUUAUUUUCCAUUGACAGUGUAGAAGUUAAUAACGACUUAGUUGUGUUUGCUGUUUCUCGUUUUGUUUUGUUUUUUUUUUUUGAGCAAAAACAACAAAAAAGUGGCUUCAUUUGCGUUCGGGAAGUGCUGCCUGGCUCUGGCUGCCGGUGCUAAGUGCGGGCGGCAGAGCUCCAGGGAAAGAAGCUUAAAAGGGAAAGAAAAAAAAAAAAAAAGCUUGAA